rnacentral:lncRNA from 1 species
GAGUGAGAAAGGGAGGGAAGGAUGGGGGGGGGGUGUUGCCUGCAUGCACAUGUGAGUGUGACCCUGUAAAGUGGGCCCCAUGUGUUACAGAGUGCAUGCUUCACCAUGUGGUGUGGCGUGGGUGUGGUGUGGUCAUUUUGUGCACUGUAGUGAUCUUCCACUCCUCUCCCCCCCCCCUUCUUGGGGAGUGAGUCUCCCUUCCUUUCCUUCCUUGAAUUCUGGAAUGCACCAUUCGACACCUGAAGUCAUCCACCUCUCCUUCCUCCUCUCUUGCCACCCACUUGCCUUGUGUCUUCCAAUUCCCUUCUUUCUUUCUUUCUUUACUUUUCUUUUUGAUGAGGAGAAUGGUGAUGAUUAGGGUACAAAUCCCCUUCCUUGCCUUGCCUUUGCUUGUUGUUUGUUUGUUUGUUUCAUUC